ACGGCGCACGGGUGAGUAUCACGUGGGGUAAUCAACCCUUCGGCGGGGGACGAACCUCGGGAAACCGGGGCUAAUACCGCAUACGUCCUUUUCUCCCUCGGGAGGAUUGGGGAAAGAGGGCCUCUCCUUGGAAGCUCUCACCGGAGGACGAGCCCGCGGCCCAUCAGCUUUGUAGGUGGGGUAACGGCCUACCUAGGCAACGACGGGUAGCUGGUCUGAGAGGAUGAUCAGCCACACUGGAACUGAGACACGGUCCAG
rnacentral:rRNA from 1 species